GAACCGUCCAAACGUUAUUCGGAAUCAUUGGGCUUAAAGGGUGCGUAGGCGGUGUGGUCAGUUGGGUGUGGAAUCCCUCGGCUCAACCGAGGAACUGCGCCCAAUACUGCCAUACUCGAGGGAGACAGAGGUAAGCGGAACUGAUGGUGGAGCGGUGAAAUGCGUUGAUAUCAUCAGGAACACCAGUGGCGAAGGCGGCUUACUGGGUCUCUUCUGACGCUGAGGCACGAGAGCUAGGGGGGAGCGAACGGGAUUAGAUACCCCGGUAGUCCUAGCUGUAAACGAUGAGCACUUGAUCGGAGACUCCCUCCAUAGGUUUCCGGUCGUAGCGAAAGUGUUAAGUGCUCCGCCUGGGAGUAUGGUCGCAAGGCUG
rnacentral:rRNA from 1 species